rnacentral:rRNA from 1 species
ACUAACAAGGAUUCCCCUAGUAACUGCGAGUGAAGCGGGAAAAGCUCAAAUUUAAAAUCUGGCAGUCUAUGGCUGUCCGAGUUGUAAUCUAGAGAAGUGUUAUCCGCGCUGGACCGUGUACAAGUCUCCUGGAAUGGAGCGUCAUAGAGGGUGAGAAUCCCGUCUUUGACACGGACUACCAGGGCAUUGUGAUGCGCUCUCAAAGAGUCGAGUUGUUUGGGAAUGCAGCUCAAAAUGGGUGGUAAAUUCCAUCUAAAGCUAAAUAUUGGCGAGAGACCGAUAGCGAACAAGUACCGUGAGGGAAAGAUGAAAAGAACUUUGGAAAGAGAGUUAAACAGUACGUGAAAUUGUUGAAAGGGAAACGCUUGAAGUCAGUCGCGUUGGCCAGGGAUCAACCUUGCAUUUGCAUGGUGUACUUUCUGGUUGACGGGUCAGCAUCAAUUUCUGACCAUUGGAAAAAGGUCAGGGGAAUGUGGCAUCUUCGGAUGUGUUAUAGCCCUUGGUUGUAUACAGUGGUUGGGAUUGAGGUACUCAGCACGCAGCAAGGCCGGGUUUUAACCACGUUCGUGCAUAGGAUGCUGGCAUAAUGGCUUUAAUCGACCCGUCUUGAGAACACGGACCAAGGAGUCUAACAUGCCUGAGAGUGUUUGGGGUGGAAG